CAUUUUAUUUUAAGGUGUCCUUGUUACACGUUACACAUACUUACUAUUAUAAAAACAAUUAAUUAUGCAUAAUUACAUGCAAGAAACCCUAACCCAAACCCUAACCAUAUAGUAAUGUAGUUAAUAUUACUCAGUACUUAAUUGAUAAUUACACUGUGACUAGGACACUUUAAAAAAAUGUAUUAUUUUUAUAAUUAAUAUUUUAAGAAAACAAUUAAUAUUAAUAACAUUAUUAAACUAAAUAAUAUUACUGUUAUAUUACUUUAUUAUUAUUAUUGUUACUGUUGUUAUUAAGAAGAAGAAGAGGGGAAAAGUAUAAGAACAGUCUCCCGCUCAUAUAAAGGGAAACAUACAAACAGAGAGGAUUGAAAUAGAGUUGUUUGAAAUUUAAGCAAACUUUUCCAGUGUUAUUUGCAUAACAAUGACACGCGUUGAACUCUGACACGCCCACCCGAGCAGCGCUUCUGAAAAUGUACAGGAUCACAAGACGCCAAUAAUGACGGUCUCAGGAGGUUAAAAACCUUAAUUUCUUUUCGACUGAAGAAAGAAAGACAUGAACAUCUCUGAUAACAUGGGGCAACAUCCCCUCGCAGCCAGAUCUCAUGUGUCCAAACUCCAAACAGUCGUCAUGAGCUUUUCUUUUGCCUUUCAAUGGCCGUGGCGCUCUACAAGUCUCAACUUUACCUGAAUCCAUGCAGUUGAGCCAGAUCUGUUGUUUUAUUCCACCUGCCAAGGAUUAUGUUAUAUGAGGACUGUCAGCGUCUCUUUGAUGCAGCUCUUGGAUGGAGUGGAAGUCAACAGCAAUGACUUCAACAUGUGUCUAAUCAGAUGGUCGGCGUUUUGUGAACUGGAGCUGCUUUGUAGCUUUCAAACAUGGAUCAGCUUUUCUGAAUUAAGGACUCGGGGCUGUAAAACAAAAAUUAAGUGUGGAUACAAGCUUUCAUUCACAGUGUAAAUCGUGACGGUCGAUAAUGAAGCGAGUUUAAUGUGCUCUGUGCUCUGGAGAAGGACUGUUUGGUUUUUUUGGCCCUCCACUGAAAAAUAUUCCUAAAUAUGAAUAGCCUCACUAAGAGUAUAUUACAUGUAUUUCUCUAAACAAAUCAUACUUAACAGACAGGACUUGUCUUGUGCUUUGCUGUGUUAUCUCAGAGAAAGGUAUGCAUGAAGAUGAAUUCUCACUGACGCAGAGCUAUCUGUUUAUAUGAUCGACUGCUUUCUUGAGCUGCAGGAGCAUUAAGAGGUCCACAAUAGGAUAGAUGAGUUAUCUGGCCAUCUUCUGCUCUCUCCCACUUGCUCUUUUUCUCUUUUUUUUUUUUUGCAUUGUUUCACAUGCUGUUGUGCAGCUUUCCCUCAGUUCAGAAGGCCUUGUGUUAGAUCAGCUGUCCCUGAACUCUUUGAAUAUUUAUACAAUUAGAUGCUUUAGAGCAAAGGUCACCUGAUAGGUCACCAGAUAAAGGUCAGAGAAAAACAGAAGUGCAAAACAAUAUUGUGUCUUAAAACAAAAACUGCUUCACUGCUAUGUUUUAGAAAUAUUAAAAUUUAAAAAAAUAAUAAUAAUAAAAAUGAAAAAUCCUGCAAAGGAAAAAAAAGCAAUACCAUAAAAAUUUGUCAUCAUGUGACCAGGCAUUAAAACUGCUUAGAAAUGAAAAUUCUGCCAUUGAAAACUGUCGUUUUUCAGAAAAAAAUUUCUUUCUUCUCUGUUAAAUGCAGAAGACAUUUUUUAAGGAUUUGUUGGUAACCAAAUAGUUAUUAAACAGUAGACACUGACUUUCAUGAUAUGAAAAAAUAUAUACUAUUGAAGUCAAGGGGGACCAGGUUUAGUUACCAACAUUUGUCAAAAUUUUCUUUUGUGUCCAACAGAAGAAAGAAAUUAAUACAGGGUUGGAACAGCAUGAGGGUGCAAAAAUGCUUACAGAAUUGUUAUUUUGGGGUAAACUACCUUUAAGGUUAUAUCACAUAACCUAAUGACUUUAUGUUUUUUUCCAGA